rnacentral:ncRNA from 2 species
AGAUUCCACUAGGGGUGCUUCGUGCUGAGAAAAGGUUCGCCUUUAACUCUUCAACCUGAUCUAGUUCAUACUAGCGUAGGGAAGUGGAAACGUAAAAAA